UGUACGGCUUCCUUGCAGCCAUUGCUCCCUUGCGCCUGUCACCUAAAGUCGCCCAUUGCUUAUUAUCCCAGAGAGAAAUAUGAAGAGUUCUUUUCACAUUGUGUAGUCCAGUGCACAGUGAAGUAUCGAUGCAAAGUGCAGGGUGAAAACAAAUGGGUUUGAAAGUGGGACACAGAGAUUUAAAAGUAGCCAAUCCAGAAGACGCCUGGGCUUACACUCUGAUUGACCACCAAGCAGUUGACUGACCCACAAAGAAAAACAUGAAACUCAGAGUAUGUGAAUUUUAGAAAGAGUAGUUGGGCAUGCAGUUCUGUGGCGAGAUACUCGACUGUGGCUGAAUGAGGCACGGAAACACUCUUCACAGCAAAGGUAGAAAACUCUUCACUGCUCGUGCCGCAAUAGGAGGCGCCAAGAGCACUUGCCGGCACCGGAAGUAAAGUGGUCAGUGUCUGUUUACAGCUGUGGCUGCACAGUGACAGCAAUGUCUACACUCUAGCGGAGGAACAUGUACCACUGCCAAACCACGACACACAACAGAGUACUGGGCACACCUGGAGCAGUCGCCGCUGUGGCACUUGAGGGUUGCUGUGAGCACUCUAGUGACAGCACAGCCUAGCCCUAAUUUGAAGAUUGCGAAUUGACUUUACCGGACUCUGGCAGUUGACGCUAUGAACAGCACUGUGAGCUCUACCUUGGAAGUUACGAGCAAAGGUGGUAUCGCGAGCUUUCUGCAUCCCUGAAUGGGAUGGUGGAGGUAUAUCGGCACUCAUGCACAGGACACGGAAACUCUCACUUCCAAUGGGACAUUUUGAGAGGCCUAUCUGUAUUCCAGUAUUGGCAGUGGAAGAUCGACAUCCCCUUCUCAUUCCACUACCCUCUACCUCCUUGAACAGUUUACGGUACUCUGACAGGGAACUCUUAUCCUCCUCAGGGGUGUUUUCCUUCCUUGGCCUUAAA
rnacentral:lncRNA from 1 species